UACGGAGGGUGCGAGCGUUGUCCGGAAUCACUGGGCGUAAAGGGCGCGUAGGUGGCGCGGGCAGUCAACGGUGAAAGUUCGGGGCUCAACCCUGAAUCGGCCGUCGAUACUCCCGGGCUGGAGCACUGUAGAGGCUAAUGGAAUUCCGGGUGUAGCGGUGGAAUGCGUAGAGAUCCGAAAGAACACCGGUGGCGAAGGCGGUUAGCUGGGCAGUUGCUGACACUGAGGCGCGACAGCGUGGGGAGCAAACAGG
rnacentral:rRNA from 1 species